CUAAGUGAUCAGAUAUAUGUCUAUUGGCAGGUUUGCAUGGUUGAUGGCAUCAUCGACUUCAAGGUCUGGCUCUGCCACUGGGAAGAUAUGCAGUCCUCUGUGGAAGUCACAGAAGCUGUUGUGGUGACAUAAGUGACCCUCCCGAACCAAAAGAGCAUGUGUGAGAGCUUCCUCCCAUGCUCUGACACUUCCAUUUUGGGACGAGAUUGAUGCUGCUCCUGAUGUGUAUAUGCAUGCCUGUGCUGCUGUUGGGCUGGCUGUGGCCGCCUGCGUCUCGCGCGAGGUUGUUGGCUUAGCUGGCCCGCGGCUUCGACUACCUCCUCGGCGAGUUCACCACGGCGUAACCAUGACGCUCGUGCUCGGCUACAACAUCUCCUGUGAGU